ACUGUGGUGGUUCAGUGGUAGAAUCCUCGCCUUCCAUGCGUGAAACCAAAGUUUGAUUCCUGGCCAAUGCA
rnacentral:tRNA from 1 species